rnacentral:rRNA from 1 species
ACGAACGCUGGCGGCGUGCCUAACACAUGCAAGUCGAGCGAGAAUUUCGCAGCGGAAUCCUUCGGGAGGAAGCAGUGAAAGGAAAGCGGCGGACGGGUGAGUAACGCGUGAGUAACCUGCCUUCAGGAGGGGGAUAACAUUCCGAAAGGGGUGCUAAUACCGCAUGACAUUGUUUUUUCUGCAUGGAAGAACAAUCAAAGAUUUAUCGCCUGAAGAUGGACUCGCGUCUGAUUAGAUAGUUGGUGGGGUAAAGGCCUACCAAGUCGACGAUCAGUAGCCGAACUGAGAGGUUGAUCGGCCACAUUGGGACUGAGACACGGCCCAGACUCCUACGGGAGGCAGCAGUGGGGGAUAUUGCGCAAUGGGGGGAACCCUGACGCAGCAACGCCGCGUGAAGGAAGAAGGUUUUCGGAUUGUAAACUCCUGUUGUUGAGGAAGAUAAUGACGGUACUCAACAAGGAAGUGACGGCUAACUACGUG